CCCAUUGAGAUAGCACCCUUUGUUUAUGAGUACCCUUGUUUCCUCGGCGGGCUCGCUCGUCAAGAGGACCUUACAAACCCUUUGCAGUAGAAGUAUCUUCAGUAAAAAAUAAAUAUUAAAACUUUCAACAACGGAUCUCUUGGUUCUGGCAUCGAUGAAGAACGCAGCGAAAUGCGAUAAGUAGUGUGAAUUGCAGAAUUCAGUGAAUCAUCGAAUCUUUGAACGCACAUUGCGCCCUUCGGUAUUCCGUUGGGCAUGCCUGUUCGAGCGUCAUUUAAACCUUCAAGCUCUGCUUGGUGUUGGGUGUUUGUUCCGCCUCUGCGCGUGGACUCGCCUCAAAUUCAUUGGCAGCCGGUAUGUUGGCUUCGUGCGCAGCACAUUGCGUCUCGAGUCUGACUAUCUCCAUCCAUUAAGCCUCUUUUUAAGUUUGACCUCGGAUC
rnacentral:rRNA from 1 species